rnacentral:sRNA from 1 species
UGAACUUGAUGUUUGGGACAUCAAUGAGUAUCUUCGUGUCUUGGAGAGAAAAAGAAGACCUGUGGUUAACUAUAUUCAGAAAGUUCAAAGAACAAUUACCUCCAACAACAGAGCAGUACUGGUGGAUUGGUUAGUAGAAGUUGCCGAGCAGUACAAUCUUCUCUCCGAUACUCUUCUGCUCUGUGUGUCAUACAUUGAUAGAUUUUUAUCAGUCCAGCCCAUGAUCAGAUCGAGGCUUCAAUUGUUGGGUGUUUCCUGCAUGUUCAUUGCUUCGAAAUAUGAAGAAAUUAAUCCACCCAGUUUGAAUGAGUUUUGCAACAUCACUGACAACACCUAUGACAAAACAGAGAUUAUAAAGAUGGAAGCUGAAAUACUCAAGGCCCUAAAUUUUGAGAUGGGAAAUCCUACUGCAAUCACUUUUUUGAGGUUUUUAUCUGGUGCUGCUUCUGAUUAUCAAAAAACUCCAAA